GUCCACGCCGUAAACGUUGGGAACUAGAUGUGGGGGCCAUUCCACGGUCUCCGUGUCGCAGCUAACGCAUUAAGUUCCCCGCCUGGGGAGUACGGCCGCAAGGCUAAAACUCAAAGGAAUUGACGGGGGCCCGCACAAGCGGCGGAGCAUGCGGAUUAAUUCGAUGCAACGCGAAGAACCUUACCAAGGCUUGACAUAUACCGGAAAAGUGCAGAAAUGUACUCCCCGCAAGGUCGGUAUACAGGUGGUGCAUGGUUGUCGU
rnacentral:rRNA from 1 species